rnacentral:rRNA from 1 species
UGGGGGAUAUUGCACAAUGGGCGAAAGCCUGAUGCAGCGACGCCGCGUGGGGAUGAAGGCCUUCGGGUUGUAAACUUCUUUUGCUCUGAACAAGGCAUGCUAAUGGGUGUGUUGAGUGUAGGGGUUGAUUAGCGCCGGCUAACUACGUGCCAGCAGCCGCGGUAAUACGUAGGGCGCGAGCGUUGUCCGGAAUUAUUGGGCGUAAAGGGCUUGUAGGUGGCUGGUUGCGUCUGUCGUGAAAGCUCAUGGCUUAACUGUGGGUUUGCGGUGGGUACGGGCUGGCUUGAGUGCAGUAGGGGAGGCUGGAAUUCCUGGUGUAGCGGUGGAAUGCGCAGAUAUCAGGAGGAAUACCGGUGGCGAAGGCGGGUCUCUGGGCUGUUACUGACACUGAGGAGCGAAAGCAUGGGGAGCGAACAGG